GCCAAAUUAAAGAAGGAUGUGAAGGUUAGGCUAAGAAGUGUGAUGAGCUUUAUUUAGGUAAUAGGCAAUGAGGAGAAAUUGAAACAUGAAGGAACAUAAUUUGAGGUGUGAUUAUUUGAGUUUUUAAAAUAUUAUCACUGUGCAUCAGAAUGGGUUAGGGAAGGCUUAAAUCCUGGAUGCUGGCUCAGCACCUAUUAGAGCAAUUAAAAUGAGAAAUGAUGCAGACUAAACUAGAAUUUCAGGUAAAAAUGGGAAAAAUAGGCGUUAAAAAAUGGUAUAAACGUUAAAAAACUACACUUGACUGAGUUAGAAUAUGGAGGAAAAGGAAGUAUGGAGAUCAAAAGAAAACAUCAGGAUUUGGGAGCUUGGACACAGGUUUUGCUUUUCCAUCUUUUAUGGAGUAUGAUUUACUUUCAAAUCGCCUCUGAAGAAACCUAUUAGUCAGUCAACUGCAGAAAAACUUCUCCAUAAUAUCUACCUGGAAUAUAUCUUGCUUCCAUUCACCUUCUUCCUUUGUCAAUGACUCUCAGGAGGAAUACAGUCUUUGUCAGUCAUAAAGGAAGGAAGAGUCAAUGACAUAGGAUCCCAAACACGGCUAAAAUGUCUCAUAUCUAAUGCUGUACUCCCCCUCUUAACCAAAAUUUGUGUCAGGAAAAGGCACAAAACUCCACCAAAGGAUUACGGUACCUUAAUCCAAGGAAGUUGUAUAGAGGCUAGUAUUUAAAAUUGUCAUUUUGAUAGGCCCCACUAGUGGAUUUUAUCCCCUGUUAGGUUGGACAAUCCUCAGUAUAUACACCUUACUACACAAAGUGAAAAAUUAUGUGGUACACAAGACAGAAGAAAAGCCAAACAUACAAGAAACAAAGCAUUCAACAGAAGAUUCAGAGAUGACCCAGAUAUUGAAACUAAAUGGAAAUGCCAAUUCUCAAGCUCAUAUGUAAUUUCAACUGGAUUUUCAAAUGCAAAAUAAGUUGAAUCUCUACCUUAUGCCAUAUAUAAAAAUUAACCCCAAAUGGACUGAAAACAUAAAUAUAAGCAUGAAUAUUAACACUUUUGGAAGAAAUCAUGGGGUAAAUCUUCAUAACCCUGGAUUUGGCAACGAAUUCUUAGUUAUGAUAUCAAUAACAUAAAUAUGGAUAAAUUGGAUUUCAUCAAAAUUAAAAGCUUGUAUGUACCAAAAAUGUUAUCAAAGAAGUAAAAUGACAAUCUAGAAUGGAGGAGAAAAUAUUUGUGAAUCAUAUCUC
rnacentral:lncRNA from 1 species